rnacentral:rRNA from 1 species
AGAUUGAACGCUAGCGGGAUGCUUUACACAUGCAAGUCGAACGGCAGCGCGGACUUCGGUCUGGCGGCGAGUGGCGAACGGGUGAGUAAUAUAUCGGAACGUGCCCAGUAGCGGGGGAUAACUACGCGAAAGCGUGGCUAAUACCGCAUACGCCCUACGGGGGAAAGGGGGGAUUCUUCGGAACCUCUCACUAUUGGAGCGGCCGAUAUCAGAUUAGCUAGUUGGUGAGGUAAAGGCUCACCAAGGCGACGAUCUGUAGCUGGUUUGAGAGGACGACCAGCCACACUGGGACUGAGACACGGCCCAGACUCCUACGGGAGGCAGCAGGUGGGGAAUAGUUGGAC